CGUCCGGGACCCCGCCUCCAGGAAGCCCUCCCGGCCCCGCGCUCCGCGUCACCCGGGCCCCCAGCCGCGUCGCACAGACCCCGACGGUCCAGCCGAGCGGCCCCGGGCGCGACGUCCUCCCCCCGGCCCGGGCAGGCGCCGGCGCCGCUCCCCACUUCGCCCGGCCUUUGUUAGCGCGAGGCCGCCGCCGGGGAGCCCUCCCCAGACCCGGGCGCGGCGUUUUACCUGCAGCCGCUGCGCUCGCCCAGCCGCGACCCCCGCGGGACGGAGCCGGACCCCCCUGCACCCGGGCGGACCGGGGACCCUCAGAGGCGAGCCGGCUGCCUCGGGUCACACAUCCGCGAACUCCGGGGGCGGGCUCCCCAGGACGCCGCCGCCCCCCACGACCCCCAGCCCUCCCGCUUCCGUGGAAAGCCGCCCCGACGACCCCCGUGCGGGUUGUUGAGGGGCCGUCCUCCGCCGACCGCUGUGGGAACAGCUCCGCGCGUGCGGCGGGACGCGGCGAGUCAGGGGCAGGAAGAACGCACGGGGGCCCAUGGCAUUUCUUGGUAGAAGGUCAAAGAGAAGUGUUCGUGCUUGGUAAGGCAGGAGGGUGGGAGAUAGGGCAGUGGGUGGGGAAGGAGAGUCUGGUUCACUGGGUGCCAGGAAAAGGGGGUAAAGGCUGGGCAGGAACCCCUGGCUCCUGACCAGGAAUGGCCAUGGUAAGAAUCCUGCAAAACCAGAAAUCAGAUCUUACACUGGCAGCACACGGGAACACAGCAACUGGACUGGGAGCAGCAGGGCUUGCAGCAGCUGGACUGGCAGCAGGAUGACCCACAGCCUGAGGAGCAGCAGCACGGCUUACAGCAACUGCACUGGGAGCAGGAUGGCCCACAGCCUCCCUUAGAGCCACCACAAGAGCCACAGCUGGAGCAGGAACAGGCUGGGACACAGCAACACACAGGCUUGCAGCAGCAGACGGGCACACAGCAGCCAGAGCCACAGCCCCCACAGCCGGAGCCACAGCCCCCACAGCCAGAGCCACAGCCCCCACAGCCCGAGCUGCAGCCCCCACAGCCGGAGCCGCAGCCCCCACAGCCGGAGCCACAGCCCCCACAGCCGGAGCNNNNNNNNNNGGAGCCGCAGCCCCCACAGCCGGAGCCACAGCCCCCACAGCCGGAGCCACAGCCUCCAGAGCAGCCACAGCAGCCCAUGGUUCUGGUGGAUUGAGGGUGGAGCAGGCAGAGGAGCAGGUGAGAGGGAGGUGCAGGUGUGGAGCUCCCUGAGCCUGGGCUCUUUAUAUCCCUGCCCAGGGUCACGUGUGAGGCUGGACACACAGUCACUUCCUGGUUCCUGUUUGUGCCAUUUUUAGGGCCCCUUUUUCUUGUUUCCUCUAGAAAUCCACCCCUUGGUGUAUGGGCUGCUCAGCGGGCCACAGCUCUCUUGCUGAAUCUGUGUCCAGACUUAAGGGAGGCCCCCAGCAGUCUAGCCUCUCCCUGUUGUCUCCAGAGUCACAUUGGAUUUACAAAAGCAUCUAUUUUAGGCCGGGCGUGGUGGCUCACACCUGUAAUCUCAGCACUUUGAGAGGCCUAGGCAGGUAGAUCACUUGAGGUCAGGGGUUGGAGAACAGCCUGGCCAAAAUGGUGAAAUCUCAUGUCUACUAAAAACACACAAAUUAACGGGGUGUGGUGGCUCACAUCUGUAAUC
rnacentral:lncRNA from 1 species